rnacentral:rRNA from 1 species
AUUGAACGCUGGCGGCAGGCCUAACACAUGCAAGUCGAACGAGUGGCGGACGGGUGAGUAAUGUCUGGGAAUCUGCCAGGGGGCGGGGGAUCACUUAUGGACAGGGUCGCUAAUACCGCAUACCAUCAGAUGUGCCCAGAUGGGCUUAGCUUGUUGGUUGUGUAACGGCUCAACAAGGCGACGAGCCCUAGCUGGUCUGAGAGGAUGACCAGCCACACUGGAACUGAGACACGGUCCAGACUCCUACGGGAGGCAGCAGUGGGGAAUAUUGCACAAUGGGCGCAAGCCUGAUGCAGCCAUGCCGCGUGUAUGAAGAAGGCCUUCGGGUUGUAAAGUACUUUCAGCGGGGAGGCGUUACCCGCAGAAGAAGCACCGGCUAACUCCGUGCCAGCAGCCGCGGUAAUUC